UACGUAGGGUGCAAGCGUUAAUCGGAAUUACUGGGCGUAAAGCGUGCGCAGGCGGUUGUGCAAGACAGAUGUGAAAUCCCCGGGCUCAACCUGGGAAUUGCAUUUGUGACUGCACGGCUAGAGUGUGUCAGGAGGGGGUAGAAUUCCACGUGUGAGCAGUGAAAUGCGUAGAGAUGUGGAGGAAUACCGAUGGCGAAGGCAGCCCCCUGGGAUAACACUGACGCCUCAUGCACGAAAGCGUGGGGAGCAAACAGG
rnacentral:rRNA from 1 species